UACGUAGGGUGCAAGCGUUAAUCGGAAUUACUGGGCGUAAGGCGUGCGCAGGCGGUGAUGUAAGACAGAUGUGAAAUCCCCGGGCUUAACCUGGGAACUGCAUUUGUGACUGCAUCGCUGGAGUGCGGCAGAGGGGGAUGGAAUUCCGCGUGUAGCAGUGAAAUGCGUAGAUAUGCGGAGGAACACCGAUGGCGAAGGCAAUCCCCUGGGCCUGCACUAACGCUCAUGCACGAAAGCGUGGGGAGCAAACAGG
rnacentral:rRNA from 1 species